CUCCGUUUGCACACCUCGACUUCCUCUGUGGCCGGCUGCACUUUCUCUGCAGCCGACAGCCGCUGGUCUCGCUCCUGCAGCUCACACUCUUCCUGACUCAGCUUCUUCUGCAGCGCCAUCUGCUGCUGGUACAGCUCGUUCAGGAUCGCCACCUUCUGCGCAGCGUCCUGCACUCCUCCUCCAGCCCGGUCUUGGAGGACUGCAGCGCCCCGCAGUCCUCCUCCAGCUUCUUUAUCUGCCCUUCCAGGUCACGGUGGGUGAGCAUUGAGGCUCUCAGCUUGGCUGGUAAAAAUUUGAGAUCCUCCUGGAGCAGUGAGAUUGCGGUCUGGGUUCGGAAGACAUCCAGCAGCUGCUUAAUCUGAGUUUUCAUCUCAUUCUGGUCACCUCCCCCUUCUCCAUUGGCUGAUUCAUCUGCCUCAGCUCCUCCUGGACCUGGACCCUCAGACUCAGGUCUGCAGUCUAAUCGAUUCAGCUGCGGGAUGCAACUGGUCGGGGCCUGGAUACUAUCAUCUUUAUGAGCCAGAGCGGCUUCCAGUUCCCUCUGAGACUUCUCCAAGGACUUGAUCUGCUCGCUGAGCUCACAAGAACAGUUCUCCAAAAGAAAAUGACAAAUGAAACAAUUCCCAAGAAGGCAGUCAGAAGCACAGGCUUCCACGGUGGCCCAUAAAAAUCAGGUCCAGGCUGAACAUCCUCAGGCAAAGUAGCAACUAGCUCCAGGAGCCGGGCCACGAGGGCCGCCUACAGCACCGACAGGGGCCCCAGCAGCUCCGGGUCGCCCGGGGACACGGCGACCACGGGCGCAGUGGCCAGCACCGUGUCCAUCGCGAAGGGCAGCUCGCUCCCUGUGGGUUCGGCCAAACUGGGCCGACCCCGUUCUGGAGAGGCUGCCUUCUGGAAGCUGACAAGGGGCGGGACCGCAGGGCCUCGCCUUCCUCUGCUCUGCGCCCUGAGCUGUAAACACACAGCAGGGAUGGUUUCCAGGAAGACUCUGCCGCGUGCCUGCGCAGAGGGGGAGGGGCGGGGCCAGAGAACAUUCUUAUAUGUGGAGGACAAUGCUGGCCUGCCAAAA
rnacentral:lncRNA from 1 species